rnacentral:rRNA from 1 species
UACGAGGGGGGCAAAUGUUGUUCGGAAUCACUGGGCGUAAAGGGAGCGUAGGCGGGUUUUUAAGUCAGGUGUUUAAUCCCGGGGCCCAACCCCGGACAGGCACUUGAAACUGGGAAUCUUGAAUAGUGGAGAGGUUAGUGGAAUUGGGGGUGUAGCGGUGGAAUGCGUAGAGAUCCCCAAGAACACCCGUUGCGAAGGCGGCUGACUGGACACAUAUUGACGCUGAGGCUCGAAAGCAUGGGGAGCAAACAGG